UACGUAGGGGGCAAGCGUUGUCCGGAUUUAUUGGGCGUAAAGAGCGUGUAGGCGGCCAGGUAGGUCCGAUGUGAAAGCCCCGAGCUUAACUUGGGAAUGGCAUUGGAAACUGGCGGGCUGGAGUGCGGCAGAGGGGGGUGGAAUUCCACGUGUAGCAGUGAAAUGCGUAGAGAUGUGGAGGAACACCGAUGGCGAAGGCAGCCCCCUGGGCCGACACUGACGCUCAGGCACGAAAGCGUGGGGAGCAAACAGG
rnacentral:rRNA from 1 species